GCCUGGGAUAGAUCAGUCAGUAAAGCAUGAGACUCUUAAUCUCAGGGUCGAGGGUUCGAGCCCCGUGUUGGGCA